UGUCAACUCAUGUUGAAUAAUCAACCAAUCAAGCCUUUUAUUAUCACAUGCAAUGUUACACGUACAACUGCAAUGGAAAUUUCACUCCCUUCUGACCAUACAUAUAUUGCUUAAACAUCACAUUGGGAAGACAGGUCGGAAACAGUUAGGAAGGUCAGAAAACAAUUUAAUUAAUAGAUGAGGGGAGAGGAGGAGAAAAAAGAACUACAACCAGACAAAGCUCCUAGAAGACUGAAAUGGAUGAUGGUUGCAGCAUGCAAAAAGAAAAUGAUAUCUGUUGACUACAGCAUAUGCUUUCUCACAGAUUACCUUGUGGGAGUAGCUGGAGUAGCUCUAUUCUAUUUCAAGUUUGAAAUCCCUGUUUGACCAGACAAACAUUUCAGAUGAGGUAAUAGAUGGCCUAAUCUAUUUGCAGUGUGAGAAUUUCCCUCACAUUUAUCCAAUACCAAGCCAAAUCACUGGAAAAUUUUUGGAUGGGUCCACAAGAGCACAAAGUGCAUACUUUUUGAAGAAAAACAUCUUUCAGAUGUAUGAGAAAUUGAUUGGAGCCUGUCUGGAAAACGGCAGCCACUGGACCUUGUUUUUUUGUGACAUACCCAAGAGGACCAUAGUCUAUAUGAAUUCAUUUGGAGAGUCGGAGGCCAGAAAAAGUGCGGUGUUGAAAAACUGGAGGUAAUUAAUUAACAUAUUUAACAUAACAUAUUUAAUUUAAUUGAAAUCAUUACCGAACGUGGUUAUUGAUUUCUCUAUAUGCUUUUUAUUUGUAAUAACUGCGAUCUCUCAGCUCAUUUGCUUCAGCAAGAGGCUGCACUGGAGAGUGGACUUUGUCACAUGUGAGCCACCCAC